rnacentral:rRNA from 1 species
ACGUAGGGUGCAAGCGUUGUCCGGAAUUAUUGGGCGUAAAGAGCUCGUAGGCGGUCUGUCGCGUCGAAUGUGAAAACCCGGGGCUCAACCCCGGGCCUGCAUUCGAUACGGGCAGACUAGAGUUCGGUAGGGGAGUCUGGAAUUCCUGGUGUAGCGGUGAAAUGCGCAGAUAUCAGGAGGAACACCGGUGGCGAAGGCGGGACUCUGGGCCGAUACUGACGCUGAGGAGCGAAAGCGUGGGGAGCAAACAGGAUUAGAUACCCUGGUAGUCCACGCCGUAAACGUUGGGCGCUAGGUGUGGGGGUCCUUCCACGACCUCCGUGCCGCAGCUAACGCAUUAAGCGCCCCGCCUGGGGAGUACGGCCGCAAGGCUA